GAUGAACGCUGGCGGCGUGCCUAAUACAUGCAAGUCGAGCGAACAGACGAGGAGCUUGCUCCUCUGACGUUAGCGGCGGACGGGUGAGUAACACGUGGAUAACCUACCUAUAAGACUGGGAUAACUUCGGGAAACCGGAGCUAAUACCGGAUAAUAUAUUGAACCGCAUGGUUCAAUAGUGAAAGACGGUUUUGCUGUCACUUAUAGAUGGAUCCGCGCCGCAUUGCUAGUUGGUAAGGUAACGGCUUACCAAGGCAACGAUGCGUAGCCGACCUGAGAGGGUGAUCGGCCACACUGGAACUGAGACACGGUCCAGACUCCUACGGGAGGCAGCAGUAGGGAAUCUUCCGCAAUGGGCGAAAGCCUGACGGAGCAACGCCGCGUGAGUGAUGAAGGUCUUCGGAUCGUAAAACUCUGUUAUUAGGGAAGAACAAAUGUGUAAGUAACUAUGCACGUCUUGACGGUACCUAAUCAGAAAGCCACGGCUAACUACGUG
rnacentral:rRNA from 1 species